rnacentral:rRNA from 1 species
UACGAAGGGUGCAAGCGUGAAUCGGAAUUACUGGGCGUAAAGCGCGCGUAGGUGGUUCGUUAAGUUGGAUGUGAACGCCCCGGGCUCAACCUGGGAACUGCAUCCAAAACUGGCGAGCUAGAGUAUGGCAGAGGGUGGUGGAAUUUCCUGUGUAGCGGUGAAAUGCGUAGAUAUAGGAAGGAACACCAGUGGCGAAGGCGACCACCUGGGCUAAUACGGACACUGAGGUGCGCAAGCGGGGGGCGCAAACAGGCGGAGAUAACCCUGUAGUCC